GGAAAUGAAAACUGCAGGGCCUGCAUUAACAACAGCUUCUGAAGGAUUUUGACCCAUGCGCAACGUCAUCAUAGUGCGACCAAGUUCUAGGAGAUAUGCACCUAGGUUAUUAAAUAGAACUCCACUUCUCCAUGCAGUAGACUGAGUAUUCAUCCUUAAUGUAGGAUCAGUAACAUUCCUGUGAUUCUCCAGUUGCCUUGCGAGUUGAAGUAGGCACUCUGAGACUUCCCCUGUAAGCAUUUGUCUAGUAGAAAGCAUGACUUCUGCCAACGAUGCAGGAGUAGGGAAACUUUCUUGGGUGGUGCUUGGACGAGAUGAGGAAUUAGAGCUGCUUUCCUCAUCUCCAUGAAUAUUAGCUUCUUGAGCAUUAUUUCCUCCAACUCUGCCAAUACUUUCAAAAUCACGCCUCAUAUUACUGAGGUUUUGAGACAAAGUUGUCAAAGAAUCAGGAAUCACAGGAGGAGGAAACGAUCCUAAAGGAGGAAUUGAUGGAUGUCCAGAAGUGCCAUGAAACCUAUCAGACAGUGGCCUUGAACCACUGUCACCAGAUUGAUGCUGGUUCAAAUCUAUCAUCCCAGCUGCAAUCACCCGUUCUCCAGAUCUUUGUUGGUCAAUUUCCCUGACAACGUCCAUCCCUUCAAUGCCAGUUACAGAAUUUGAAAGCCCAAUUGAACUUAGAACAGCGGACACAAUCCUGUUGAUUUCUGGGGGCACACCAUCCCCUUGAACAGGCAUACUAAAAGUUUCAAUCACCACACCCGGAGCCACCCGACUGCUAUGAAUGCGACUCGUACUCGAAUUUGGAUCAGUCUCUGGCCGAUUGGGCAAAGUCUCUGAUGGCGGAAGAGGCUGCCUGACAACCAAAUGCAAGGUGUGACCAUCCUCAACGUGGUAGGCAGACAAGAGCUGAUCAUCCUUGAGAACUUUUCCUCGACAUAUAAGACGUUGUUGUUCUGAUAACACACCAGUGACAGAAGCAAUUUGUUCUUUCAAAGCAGGGACUGGCAUCUGUUUAUCCACUCUGAGAGUAUAAGUUUGUGAAUCUAAAGUUUUUAAUUUAAUCUCAAUAGUGGCUUCAGAGCCAUCAGCCUCACCACAGCUGGUAGUUUCGUCAAUAAAAUUGCUUCCCAUACUAGUGAAGAGGUGGGU
rnacentral:misc_RNA from 1 species